GGAUGUGAGGGCGAUCUGGCCACGAUUUCUGUCACCCCACUGAUUGCCAGAGUUGAUUCGGCUGAUCUGGCUGGCUGGGCAGGUGUCCCCUUCCUCCCUCACUGCUCCGUGUGCGUCCCUCCUGAAGCUGCGAGCUUGGUGGAAGAGGACAGCCUUCCCUGAACAGAGACGGCUGGUCCUCGGUCGAGGGAAUAGGAGUAGCUGCGCUCCCCUGCUGGACCCUCCAAAUAAGCUCUCAAGGUCCAUUUGUAGGAGAAUGUAGGGUAGUCAAGCUGCCAAGACUCCAGACAGUGUCUCCAAAUGAGACACUGCAUGUGGCCGUCUGCCUUUCUUU
ensembl:misc_RNA 7SK 7SK RNA